GAUGAACGCUGGCGGCGUGCCUAAUACAUGCAAGUCGAGCGAACAGACGAGGAGCUUGCUCCUCUGACGUUAGCGGCGGACGAGUGAGUAACACGUGGAUAACCUACCUAUAAGACUGGGAUAACUUCGGGAAACCGGAGCUAAUACCGGAUAAUAUAUUGAACCGCAUGGUUCAAUAGUGAAAGACGGUUUUGCUGUCACUUAUAGAUGGAUCCGCGCCGCAUUAGCUAGUUGGUAAGGUAACGGCUUACCAAGGCAACGAUGCGUAGCCGACCUGAGAGGGUGAUCGGCCACACUGGAACUGAGACACGGUCCAGACUCCUACGGGAGGCAGCAGUAGAGAAUCUUCCGCAAUGGGCGAAAGCCUGACGGAGCAACGCCGCGUGAGUGAUGAAGGUCUUCGGAUCGUAAAACUCUGUUAUUAGGGAAGAACAAAUGUGUAAGUAACUAUGCACGUCUUGACGGUACCUAAUCAGAAAGCCACGGCUAACUACGUG
rnacentral:rRNA from 1 species